GGCCGGGCCCCGCACGGUGAAAUCCCGUGAACCCCGUCAGGUCCGGAAGGAAGCAGCGGCAGCGGAUAUUUCGCGCGUUGCGGAUCCGUCCGGUCCGG
rnacentral:SRP_RNA from 1 species